GAUGAACGCUGGCGGCGUGCCUAAUACAUGCAAGUCGAGCGAACGGACGAGAAGCUUGCUUCUCUGAUGUUAGCGGCGGACGGGUGAGUAACACGUGGAUAACCUACCUAUAAGACUGGGAUAACUUCGGGAAACCGUAGCUAAUACCGGAUAAUAUUUUGAACCGCAUGGUUCAAAAGUGAAAGACGGUCUUGCUGUCACUUAUAGAUGGAUCCGCGCUGCAUUAGCUAGUUGGUAAGGUAACGGCUUACCAAGGCAACGAUGCAUAGCCGACCUGAGAGGGUGAUCGGCCACCCUGGAACUGAGACACGGUCCAGACUCCUACGGGAGGCAGCAGUAGGGAAUCUUCCGCAAUGGGCGAAAGCCUGACGGAGCAACGCCGCUUGAGUGAUGAAGGUCUUCGGAUCGUAAAACUCUGUUAUUAGGGAAGAACAUAUGUGUAAGUAACUGUGCACAUCUUGACGGUACCUAAUCAGAAAGCCACGGCUAACUACGUG
rnacentral:rRNA from 1 species